rnacentral:rRNA from 1 species
UACCAGCACCCCGAGUGGUCGGGACGAUUAUUGGGCCUAAAGCAUCCGUAGCCGGUUCUACAAGUCUUCCGUUAAAUCCACCUGCUUAACAGAUGGGCUGCGGAGGAUACUAUGGAGCUAGGAGGCGGGAGAGGCAAGCGGUACUUAGUGGGUAGGGGUAAAAUCCGUUGAUCCAUUGAAGACCACCAGUGGCGAAGGCGGCUUGCCAGAACGCGCUCGACGGUGAGGGAUGAAAGCUGGGGGGAGCAAACCGG